GAUGAACGCUGGCGGCGUGCUUAACACAUGCAAGUCGAACGGAGUUUAUGUAGAAUGAGUCUUCGGACAAGUGAAAUAUAAACUUAGUGGCGGACGGGUGAGUAACGUGUGGGUAACCUACCCUAUACAGGAGGAUAACAGUAAGAAAUUAUUGCUAAAACUGCAUAAGAUUACGAGUUCGCAUGAACAAGUGAUAAAAACUUUAGUGGUAUAGGAUGGGCCCGCAUCUGAUUAGGUAGUUGGUGGAGUAAAAGCCUACCAAGCCGACGAUCAGUAGCCGAUCUGAGAGGAUGACCGGCCACAUUGGGACUGAGACACGGCCCAAACUCCUACGGGAGGCAGCAGUGGGGAAUAUUGGACAAUGGGGGAAACCCUGAUCCAGCGACGCCGCGUGAGUGAAGAAGUAUUUCGGUAUGUAAAGCUCUAUCAGCAGGGAAGAAAAUGACGGUACCUGACUAAGAAGCCCCGGCUAACUACGUGCCAGCAGCCGCGGUAAUACGUAGGGGGCAAGCGUUAUCCGGAUUUACUGGGUGUAAAGGGAGCGUAGACGGCGAUGUAAGUCUGAAGUGAAAGCCCACGGCUCAACUGUGGGACUGCUUUGGAAACUAUGUAGCUAGAGUAUCGGAGGGGCAAGCGGAAUUCCUAGUGUAGCGGUGAAAUGCGUAGAUAUUAGGAGGAACACCGGAGGCGAAGGCGGCUUGCUGGACGAAGACUGACGUUGAGGCUCGAAGGCGUGGGGAGCAAACAGG
rnacentral:rRNA from 1 species